rnacentral:lncRNA from 1 species
GAUGUUAGAAUAGAGCUCGUAUUCGCGAAAUGCGAGCUCUACUCUGUAGUUCUUCUUGAAGUAUUCAUCAUGUCAGGUUCUUGUAGGAGGCAUAAGUUCAUGCUCUUCAGUCUUCUUCUUGCUUUGAUUCUCAUCUCAUCAGAAGCAUCAAGAUUUCCAAAGGAUAUGUGGAAACAGAUGCUGCCUAAAAGGCUUCCAUCUCCUUCUUCAGCUCCCUCUGAGCUCGCAUUUCGCGAAUGCGAGAUUAGAAUAGAGCUCGCAUUCGCGAAAUGCGAGCUCUACUCUGUAGUUCUUCUUGAAGUAUUCAUCAUAUCAGGUUCUUGUAGGAGGCAUAAGUUCAUGCUCUUCAGUCUUCUUCUUGCUUUGAUUCUCAUCUCAUAAGAAGCAUCAAGAUUUCCAAAGGAUAUGUGGAAACAGAUGCUACCUAAAAGGCUUCCAUCUCCUUCUUCAGCUCCCUCGAGAGGAUCAA